UCAUAGGACUCUAUUGCCUGGCGCCUGCAUCUCUCGAGAUCCCGCGAGAUCCUGCUUCCUGGGACCUGUAGUCUCGCCACAGUGCCUGCGGGUGAUUCUUUCUCCGAAGGCUUCCUGGUGCUCUGCGCAUGCCAGCCUAUCUCUGGCAACUUUAAAAAAAGAGCUCUCUUGGUGGUGAUGUCAGCCAAACUUUCAGUAGUAAAGAAUCCACCUGCAAAUGCAGGAGAUGGAGGUUAGAUUCCCUGGGUGGGAAAUAUUCCCUGGAGAAGGAAAUGGAAGCCCAUUCUAGUAUUCUUACCUGGAGAAUCCAAUGAACAGAGGAGCCUGGCAGGCUAUAGUCCAAAGGGUGGCAAAGACUCAGACACGACUGAGUAGCCAUGCAGACUCGUGAAUCAAAGAUGACCAAAGUGGAUUGAGAGUCUAAAACCUUGUACAACAGUGCUUCAGCAUCUUCAGAGAGGAGUCCCUAGCCUUGUAUUGAAGAACCAAGAAAUCUGGAUUGUUCAGAUAAAGUAUGGAAGGUACCAAUUCUAAAGGAAAUCAAUCCUAGAUAUUCAUUGGAAGG